ACUCCUACGGGAGGCAGCAGUGGGGAAUAUUGCACAAUGGGCGCAAGCCUGAUGCAGCCAUGCCGCGUGUGUGAAGAAGGCCUUCGGGUUGUAAAGCACUUUCAGCGGGGAGGAAGGGCUACUAGCUAAUACCUAGUGGCAUUGACGUUACUCGCAGAAGAAGCACCGGCUAACUCCGUGCCAGCAGCCGCGGUAAUACA
rnacentral:rRNA from 1 species